UUUUAGAAAUUAAUUUAAAGUCUAACCUGCCCACUGAAUAAUUUUAAAUGGCCGCAGUAUCCUAACUGUGCAAAGGUAGCAUAAUCAUUAGUCUUUUAAUUGAAGGCUGGAAUGAAUGGUUGGAUGAAAUAUUAACUGUUUCAUAAAAAUUUUUAAUAGAAUUUUAUUUUUUAGUCAAAAAGCUAAAAUAUUAUUAAAAGACGAGAAGACCCUAUAAAUCUUUAUAUUUAAAUAAUUUUAAUUAUUUAGAUAAAUUAAAUUAUAAUUAUUUUAAAUAUUUUAUUGGGGUGAUAUUAAAAUUUAAUAAACUUUUAAUUUAUAAUAAACAUAAAUUAAUGAAUUAUUGAUCCAUUUAUUAUGAUUAAAAAAUUAAGUUACUUUAGGGAUAACAGCGUAAUUUUUUUAGAGAGUUCAUAUUGAUAAAAA
rnacentral:rRNA from 1 species